AGAAAGAAGAGCAGGUGCGUGGAAGUGGGUGGAAUUGCCGCAGAUGGUCCAGCGGGCUAUUGCAAGGAUUCUGGAAGCUGCGGGAAUUAUUUGAGGACACUUGAAGCACACCUACUACAUUCUUCUGCUGGCGUUAUUCCAGUUUAAAGAAAGCUUGGGUAAGGGGCGGUUACUUCAGAGUUGGACUGGAAGAGAGAAGGCCCAUCUCUACACAAAACAUCCCCUAUUCAAUCUAGAGUGGAUACAGAAGCCCGCUGGAGUAAGAAGACAAGGAAGAAUGGGAAACCUCCACCUAGUUUUCUGUCAGUUGCUAGAAUCUAGGGGCUAGGCCGCUUGGUUAUUUCUGGAUCCUACAGAAGGAUCAUUCUAAAGGUAGCUUCAUUUUAGAAUUAACCGCAAAUAGGGAAUGUCCCUUCUACAUUUGGAACUUGUGUUAAAAAUUUGCACUCAUUUAAGUUUUAAAAAGUUGACAUUCCAUCUGACAAAGGAGUUUCAUAUGCUUAAAGCCUUUAGCUAAACCAAUAGAGUAAACAAAUAUCUACUACUCAAUUACAUAUACAAAUGCGUUUUAUAUUGUAAUUGUAAUUUUCAGGGGGACAGGCACUGUACUAAGUUCAUUACCUACAUUAUGUAAGUUGUUCUGCACAAAAAUUUUGAGAGGUAGGCAUUUUUCCACUUUACAGAUAAAAAAGUCAAGUGGCUGAUAAAUUUGCCCAGGCUCACUGAGCUAGUUAAGUGGUAGUGUGGAGAUAGCAACCUUGGUCUUUGUGACUCCAAAGGGCAUUAUAUUUAAGCAUUUGACCUGCUAGUACCUGCCACCUGGGGAAUUUCCGCCUAAUGACCAUACGGAUAAGGAGGCUUGUAACAUUGAGUACACCUAGCCCAGGAGUCUCACAGAGACACCUAAGGAAUAUUAUGAGCCCCUUUUUUGGUAUCGUCUGUUUGGACUUGACUUCACUGCCUACUUCUCAGUUGUUAACAUUUGUAUUUUACAACCUGACCCAAACUACUUUCUACCGGAAAAAUAGGCCUUAUGUUUGUUCUUCCUAAGCUUACUUUAAAAAUGGAAAUUAAGGCUGGGUGCAGGGGCUCAUGCCUGUAAUCCCAGCAGUUUGGGAGGCGGAGGUGGGCGGAUCAUGAGGUCAGGAAAUCGAGACUAUCCUGGCUAACACAGUGAAACUCCGUCUCUACCAAAAAUACAAAAAAUUAGCCAGUUGUGGUGGCGGGAGCCUGUAGUCCCAGGUACUCAGGAGGCUGAGGCAGGAGAAUGGCGUGAACCCGGGAGGCGGAGCUUGCAGUGAGCCGAGAUCAAGCCACUGCACUCCAGCCUGGGCGACAGAGCGAGACUCUGUCUCAAAAAAUAAAUAAAUAAAUAAAUAAAUAAAAUUAAUUAAAAAAAAUU
rnacentral:lncRNA from 1 species